AGGACGAACGCUGGCGGCGUGCUUAACACAUGCAAGUCGAGCGGAAAGGCCCUUCGGGGUACUCGAGCGGCGAACGGGUGAGUAACACGUGGGCAACCUGCCCCUAGCUCUGGGAUAACUCCGGGAAACCGGGGCUAAUACCGGAUACGAUCUUCCACGGCAUCUCGGAAGAUGGAAAGUUUUUCGGCUAGGGAUGGGCCCGCGGCCUAUCAGCUUGUUGGUGAGGUAACGGCCCACCAAGGCGACGACGGGUAGCCGG
rnacentral:rRNA from 1 species